rnacentral:rRNA from 1 species
AUUGAACGCUGGCGGAAUGCUUUACACAUGCAAGUCGAACGGCAGCACGGGGGCAACCCUGGUGGCGAGUGGCGAACGGGUGAGUAAUACAUCGGAACGUGCCCAGUCGUGGGGGAUAACGUAGCGAAAGUUACGCUAAUACCGCAUACGAUCUACGGAUGAAAGCGGGGGACCGUAAGGCCUCGCGCGAUUGGAGCGGCCGAUGUCAGAUAAGGUAGUUGGUGAGGUAAAGGCUCACCAAGCCAACGAUCUGUAGCUGGUCUGAGAGGACGACCAGCCACACUGGAACUGAGACACGGUCCAGACUCCUACGGGAGGCAGCAGUGGGGAAUUUUGGACAAUGGACGCAAGUCUGAUCCAGCCAUUCCGCGUGCAGGAUGAAGGCCCUCGGGCUGUAAACUGCUUUUGUACGGAACGAAAAGGUCUCUCUUAAUACGGGGGACUCAUGACGGUACCGUAAGAAUAAGUACCGGCUAACUACGUGCCAGCAGCCGCCGUAA